rnacentral:rRNA from 1 species
GAGUUUGAUCAUGGCUCAGGAUGAACGCUGGCGGUAUGCCUAACACAUGCAAGUCGAACGAAUCCUUCGGGAUUAGUGGCGGACGGGUGAGUAACGCGUGAGAAUCUGCCUUCAGGAUGGGGACAACAGUUGGAAACGACUGCUAAUACCCAAUAUGCCGCAAGGUGAAAGUUUUUCGCCUGAAGAGGAGCUCGCGUCCGAUUAGCUAGUUGGGGUGGUAAAAGCGCACCAAGGCAACGAUCGGUAGCUGGUCUGAGAGGAUGAGCAGCCACACUGGGACUGAGACACGGCCCAGACUCCUACGGGAGGCAGCAGUGGGGAAUUUUCCGCAAUGGGCGCAAGCCUGACGGAGCAAUACCGCGUGAGGGAGGAAGGCUUUUGGGUUGUAAACCUCUUUUCUCAAGGAAGAAGUACUGACGGUACUUGAGGAAUCAGCAUCGGCUAACUCCGUGCCAGCAGCCGCGGUAAUACGGAGGAUGCAAGCGUUAUCCGGAAUUAUUGGGCGUAAAGCGUCCGCAGGUGGUGCAUCAAGUCUGCUGUCAAAGACCAGGGCUUAACCCCGGGAAGGCAGUGGAAACUGGUGGACUAGAGUACGGUAGGGGUAGAGGGAAUUCCCAGUGUAGCGGUGAAAUGCGUAGAGAUUGGGAAGAACACUAGUGGCGAAGGCGCUCUACUGGACCUGUACUGACACUCAGGGACGAAAGCUAGGGGAGCGAAAGGGAUUAGAUACCCCUGUAGUCCUAGCUGUAAACGAUGGAUACUAGGCGUUGCUUGUAUCGACCCGAGCAGUGCCGUAGCUAACGCGUUAAGUAUCCCGCCUGGGGAGUACGCACGCAAGUGUGAAACUCAAAGGAAUUGACGGGGGCCCGCACAAGCGGUGGAGUAUGUGGUUUAAUUCGAUGCAACGCGAAGAACCUUACCAGGACUUGACAUCCGCGAAUCUC